rnacentral:rRNA from 1 species
UGGGGAAUAUUGGACAAUGGGCGCAAGCCUGAUCCAGCAAUGCCGCGUGUGUGAAGAAGGCCUUCGGGUUGUAAAGCACUUUUAUCAGGAGCGAAACGCUGUCGGCUAAUACCCGGCGGAACUGACGGUACCUGAGGAAUAAGCACCGGCUAACUUCGUGCCAGCAGCCACGGUAAUACGAAGGGUGCAAGCGUUAAUCGGAAUUACUGGGCGUAAAGCGUGCGUAGGCGGUUUCUUAAGUCUGCUGUGAAAUCCCCGGGCUCAACCUGGGAAUGGCAGUGGAUACUGGGAGGCUAGAGUGUGUCAGAGGGUGGUGGAAUUCCCGGUGUAGCGGUGAAAUGCGUAGAGAUCGGGAGGAACAUCAGUGGCGAAGGCGGCCACCUGGGACAACACUGACGCUGAGGCACGAAAGCGUGGGGAGCAAACAGGAUUAGAUACCCUGGUAGUCCACGCCCUAAAGCGAUGCGAACUGGAUGUUGGUCUCAACUCGGAGAUCAGUGUCGAAGCUAACGCGUUAAGUUCGCCGCCUGGGGAGUACGGUCGCAAGACUGAAACUCAAAGGAAUUGACGGGGUCAUAGCUGUUUCCUG